rnacentral:lncRNA from 1 species
UCUUCAUAGAGAAUCAAUCGUCGAAACAUCUAGAAGGAUUGGCUUAGAACCAUUCAAAUACAUAUAUCUAGUUCGACUUCCCUCUUCGAAUCAAUAAUUGAACUAUUCUUCAGGAAUUCCUUUUUUGUAAGUUCUUUUCUCCCUUCCACUUUCUUUAUCAUUAUUCCACCCCAGUGCAAUCCAAAUGAUCAAAUUAAUUAGGGCGAAUUAUUGUAUAUGCAUAGAAAUAUCAUUAUUUGAUUGAUCUAAACUCGUGUAAUUUAUUAUUUGUUAAUAUUUUCUUUUGGUCAAUUGUUGAAUAAAA